rnacentral:rRNA from 1 species
UCCAUGAUUCAGCGGCGGACGGGUGAGUAAUGCCUAGGAAUCUGCCUGGUAGUGGGGGACAACGUUUCGAAAGGAACGCUAAUACCGCAUACGUCCUACGGGAGAAAGUGGGGGAUCUUCGGACCUCACGCUAUCAGAUGAGCCUAGGUCGGAUUAGCUAGUUGGUGGGGUAAAGGCUCACCAAGGCGACGAUCCGUAACUGGUCUGAGAGGAUGAUCAGUCACACUGGAACUGAGACACGGUCCAGACUCCUACGGGAGGCAGCAGUGGGGAAUAUUGGACAAUGGGCGAAAGCCUGAUCCAGCCAUGCCGCGUGUGUGAAGAAGGUCUUCGGAUUGUAAAGCACUUUAAGUUGGGAGGAAGGGCAGUAAGUUAAUACCUUGCUGUUUUGACGUUACCGACAGAAUAAGCACCGGCUAACUUCGUGCCAGCAGCCGCGGUAAUACGAAGGGUGCAAGCGUUAAUCGGAAUUACUGGGCGUAAAGCGCGCGUAGGUGGUUCGUUAAGUUGGAUGUGAAAGCCCCGGGCUCAACCUGGGAACUGCAUCCAAAACUGGCGAGCUAGAGUAUGGCAGAGGGUGGUGGAAUUUCCUGUGUAGCGGUGAAAUGCGUAGAUAUAGGAAGGAACACCAGUGGCGAAGGCGACCACCUGGGCUAAUACUGACACUGAGGUGCGAAAGCGUGGGGAGCAAACAGGAUUAGACACCCUGGUAGUCCACGCCGUAAACGAUGUCGACUAGCCGUUGGGAUCCUUGAGAUCUUAGUGGCGCAGCUAACGCAUUAAGUCGACCGCCUGGGGAG